rfam:Triticum aestivum genome assembly, contig: Triticum_aestivum_CS42_TGACv1_scaffold_328580_4BS
CUUGUACUCCUUCUGUCCGAAAAUACUUAUCAUCAAAAUGGAUAAAAGGUGAUGUAUCUCAAAUUAAAAUACGCCUAGAUACAUCCUCUUUUAUCCAUUUUGAUGACAAGUAUUUCCGGACGGAUGGAGUACUUU